AGAAUGAACGCUAGCGAUAUGCUUAACACAUGCAAGUUGAACGUUGUUUUCGAAUCAGAAUGAGAACAAAGUAGCGAACGGGUGCGUAACACGUGGGAAUCUGCCGAACAGUUUGGGCCAAAUCCCGAAUGAAUAAAAGCUAAAAAGCGCUGUUUGAUGAGCCCACGUAGUAUUAGGUAGUUGGUUAGGUAAAAGCUGACCAAGCCUACGAUGCUUAGCUGGUCUUUUCGGAUGAUCAGCCACACUGGGACUGAGACACGGCCCCAGACUCCUACGGGAGGCAGCAGUGGGGAAUCUUGGACAAUGGGCGAAAGCCUGAUCCGGCAAUAUGGCGUGAGUGAAGAAGGGCAACGCAGCUUGAAAGCUCUUUCAUCGAGUGUGCGAUUGUGACAAGACUCGAAUAAGAACGCCCCGGCUAACUCCGCGCCAGCAGCCGC
rnacentral:rRNA from 1 species